AAAGCACGUGCCACGCACGCAACGAUUGCGAGCGUGUUAUUUUGAUAGCUGACUAAAUGAUCGGGCUCAAAAGGGUGCCAAACUCGAUCGAUGCCGUUCGGCUAACCAGAUUAGUAUAGGCGGCGACAGGUGCCAUCGCAUUAUACUCCGAGAGUGCUCAAUGUACAAUGUACUCGUAGUAGUAGUUCAAAUAAUACUACUGGCAAGUGCAGUACUUUUUACUAAAGUUCGCUCACUUAAUCCUGAAAUAUUACACCAGAUAAAAAACUAUUCGAUCAAGAAUACUAUAGUUUUUUUUUACUCAUAUCUUCAUUUUCAUUGUGCAGGAAUACGUGCGUGAGAGAACCCGGGAGGGAUGUUGGUGGUGGUGACUUCGUCGACCUCGCAGCGGAGCGCGACAUGAUUUUCGCUGGGAAAAGGACAGAGUUAAACGACUGGGAUGCGUCCUAAGGUACGUUCAUGUCAUCGCGCCUCAUAUUUUAUAAAGCCGUGAUACGGCGAAGAAACAGAACAAGAAAAACAAAA